rnacentral:rRNA from 1 species
GAUGAACGCUAGCUACAGGCUUAACACAUGCAAGUCGAGGGGCAGCAUGAACUUAGCUUGCUAAGUUUGAUGGCGACCGGCGCACGGGUGAGUAACACGUAUCCAACCUUCCGUUUACUCAGGGAUAGCCUUUCGAAAGAAAGAUUAAUACCUGAUAGUAUGGUGAGAUUGCAUGAUAACACCAUUAAAGAUUUAUUGGUAAACGAUGGGGAUGCGUUCCAUUAGGUAGUAGGCGGGGUAACGGCCCACCUAGCCUGCGAUGGAUAGGGGGUUCUGAGAGGAAAGGUCCCCCCANAUUGGAACUGAGACA